AUCGGUGACUGUGGAGGGCGAGCUGAGCCCUGUGCGGCCGCCGCCACAAUGGGCCGCGAGUUUGGGAAUCUGACGCGGAUGCGGCAUGUGAUCAGCUACAGCUUGUCACCGUUCGAGCAGCGCGCCUAUCCGCACGUCUUCACUAAAGGAAUCCCCAAUGUUCUGCGCCGCAUUCGGGAGUCUUUCUUUCGCGUGGUGCCGCGUGAGUGCCUUGGGCCCGCGGGAGCGGGAGGCUGGACCCCAGCAGCAGCAGCAGUCACUGCGCCUCCCCUCUGAGCGCUGGCGGCCGGGCAGGCGCUCUGUAACUUGCCGUACACACCUUUCUCAUUGAAUAUUCCUGACCGCCCUUAAGCUGGUCAUAUUAUCCUCCCCAUCUUACACGGGGAAAACUGAGCUACAGAACUGAAAUGACUGGCCCAAGGUCACUCGGGUGAUUCCAGCAUGUUCCUCUGAGGUCACCUUUAUUUAGUUCUUACCAGUGGUGAAAUGCUUUGUGUUAAACGUGCAGC
rnacentral:lncRNA from 10 species